CCGCCAGAGGAUGCAUCAAAUUCUCCCGUCUUUAACGGGGUUGGCUGAGCUACGAGCAACGAAUCAAAACUUUCANCAACGGAUCUCUUGGUUCUGGCAUCGAUGAAGAACGCAGCCGAACUGCCAUUAGCAGUGGGAAUUGCAGAAUUCAGGGAAUCAUCCGACUCUUUUAACGCACAUUGCGCCCCUUGGUAUCCCGAGGGGCAUGUUUUGUUCGAGCGUCAUUNCACCACUCAAGCCNGGNUUGGUGUUGGGCGACGUCCCCUUUGGGGACGCGCCCUCGAAACGCUCGGCGGCGUGGCACCGGCUUUAAGCGUAGCAGAAUCUUUCGCUAUGAAAGUAUGGGGNCCCGUCUGCCGGAAGACGUACUGGCAAGGUUGACCUCGGAUC
rnacentral:rRNA from 1 species